UACAGAGGUCCCGAGCGUUGUUCGGAUUCAUUGGGCGUAAAGGGUGCGUAGGCGGCUUCCUAAGUUUGAUGUGAAAUCCUGGGGCUCAACCCUGGAACUGCAUUGAAUACUGGGAGGCUAGAGUACUGGAGAGGAAACUGGAAUUUACGGUGUAGCAGUGAAAUGCGUAGAGAUCGUAAGGAAGACCAGUGGCGAAGGCGAGUUUCUGGACAGUUACUGACGCUGAGGCACGAAGGCCAGGGGGAGCAAACGGG
rnacentral:rRNA from 1 species